UGUAGUCUUCUUGCUUGGUAAUGACUGGGUGCUAAUCUAACUUCAUCAAGUGGUUUUUGCAAGUAGGGAAUAAACUUUUAAGAAGUCAAAUGUUUUGGGACAUCUUUAGACAUUCGUGCUGUGAAUAUAUUAGCCACUAAUCUUCCUUCCUUGCUUUUCUACAUAUUGCCAUGACAGCUUCACCUCAGACACAAAUUUAUGCAGUGAAAGACACAUGCAGUGAAAGACACAUGCAGUGAAAGAUCCUGAGAUGUAAAGGAAUAACAGCAAGAUUUUGAGCAAGAAUCAGAUUUGCAGAGACAAGCUCUUGAUUUUUUGCUUUCUAAAGGUUGGGGUGCAAAACUAAAUUUAACUGAAGCUAAAACAAAACACAAAUAAUAGGAGCUCAAGAUGGCAUGUGAAGGUUGGGUGAGAAAAUGUCACUUACCUAAAUUCAUCCUGUGAGUUUCCAUGACUGAGGGUUGACUAGUUGCAUGACAACUGUAAGUUGUUUUAUGCCCAGCCAUUCAUGAGUAAUCUUUCUAGGUAAAAGAGCAAGUAUGAUCUAGGACCUGAGGCGAAGAUAGCUAUGGUGGUAUAAAUGUGAGGGAAGAAUAAAAUGAUCUACUCCUUC